rnacentral:rRNA from 1 species
GGCUCUUUGAUUAAUGAUGAUAAAGAGUUUGGCCUGCCCAGUGAUUAUAUUAAAUGGCCGCGGUAUCCUGACUGUGCGAAGGUAGCAUAAUAAUUUGUCUUAUAAUUGAAGAAUGGAAUGAAUGGUUUGACUAAGAUAUAGCUGUCUCUUAUAUAUUAAUUAAAAGUUGAUUUUUAAGUUAAAAAGCUUAAAUUAAAUUAAAAGACGAGAAGACCCUAUUGAGCUUUGUAAUAAGUAUAUUAGUUAAAAAUAUAUAUUAGAUUUAUGCUAGGUUAUGGAUUUUAGUUGGGGCGACUUAGGAGUAAAAGAAGCCUCCUUGUUUCUGUUGAGGGGUGUCUAUUGAUCCAAAUAAUUUUGAAUUGAGAACAAGUUACCAUAGGGAUAACAGCGUUAUUUUCUUUGAGAGUUCUUAUCGAAAGGGAAGUUUGCGACCUCGAUGUUGGAUUAGGGUAUAAUAAAGGUUGUAGAAGCUUUUAUGAUUAGUCUGUUCGACUAUUAAAACCCU